rnacentral:rRNA from 1 species
GCUGGGGGGAUUAGUGGCGAACGGGUGAGUAACACGUGAGUAACCUGCCCUUAACUCUGGGAUAAGCCUGGGAAACUGGGUCUAAUACUGGAUAUUGACUUUUCACCGCAUGGUGGUUGGUUGAAAGAUUUAUUGGUUUUGGAUGGACUCGCGGCCUAUCAGCUUGUUGGUGAGGUAAUGGCUCACCAAGGCGACGACGGGUAGCCGGCCUGAGAGGGUGACCGGCCACACUGGGACUGAGACACGGCCCAGACUCCUACGGGAGGCAGCAGUGGGGAAUAUUGCACAAUGGGCGAAAGCCUGAUGCAGCGACGCCGCGUGAGGGAUGACGGCCUUCGGGUUGUAAACCUCUUUCAGUAGGGAACAAGGCCAGUGUUUAGUUGGUUGAGGGUACCUGCAGAAGAAGCGCCGGCUAACUACGUGCCAGCAGCCGCGGUAAUACGUAGGGCGCAAGCGUUAUCCGGAAUUAUUGGGCGUAAAGAGCUCGUAGGCGGUUUGUCGCGUCUGCCGUGAAAGUCCGGGGCUCAACUCCGGAUCUGCGGUGGGUACGGGCAGACUA